CCUACGGGGGGCAGCAGUGGGGGAUAUUGCACAAUGGGGGGAACCCUGAUGCAGCGACGCCGCGUGGGUGAAGAAGCGCCUCGGCGCGUAAAGCCCUGUCAGCAGGGAAGAAAAUGACGGUACCUGAAGAAGAAGCCCCGGCUAACUACGUGCCAGCAGCCGCGGUAAUACGUAGGGGGCAAGCGUUAUCCGGAUUUACUGGGUGGAAAGGGGGCGCAGACGGCGAUGCAAGCCAGGAGUGAAAGCCCGGGGCCCAACCCCGGGACUGCUCUUGGAACUGCGUGGCUGGAGUGCAGGAGGGGCAGGCGGAAUGCCUGGUGUAGCGGUGAAAUGCGUAGAUAUCAGGAGGAACACCGGUGGCGAAGGCGGCCUGCUGGACUGCAACUGACGUUGAGGCCCGAAAGCGUGGGGAGCAAACAGGAUUAGAUACCCUAGUAGUC
rnacentral:rRNA from 1 species